GACGAACGCUGGCGGCGUGCCUAAUACAUGCAAGUAGAACGCUGAAGGAGGAGCUUGCUUCUCUGGAUGAGUUGCGAACGGGUGAGUAACGCGUAGGUAACCUGCCUGGUAGCGGGGGAUAACUAUUGGAAACGAUAGCUAAUACCGCAUAAUAGUAGAUGUUGCAUGACCUUUGCUUAAAAGGUGCAAUUGCAUCACUACCAGAUGGCCCUGCGUUGUAUUAGCUAGUUGGUGAGGUAACGGCUCACCAAGGCAACGAUACAUAGCCGACCUGAGAGGGGGAUCGGCCACACUGGGACUGAGACACGGCCCAGACUCCUACGGGAGGCAGCAGUAGGGAAUCUUCGGCAAUGGACGGAAGUCUGACCGAGCAACGCCGCGUGAGUGAAGAAGGUUUUCGGAUCGUAAAGCUCUGUUGUAAGAGAAGAACGAGUGUGAGGGUGGAAAGUUCACACUGUGACGGUAUCUUACCAGAAAGGGACGGCUAACUACGUG
rnacentral:rRNA from 1 species